UUNNNGGUCCUUCUCCGGAUACCGUANUAUUCUAUAGCUAUACGUGCGUAAAUCCCGACUUCUGGAAGGGACGUAUUUAUUAUAUUUAAGGNCGACCCGGCUCUGCCGGUCUCGCGGUGAAUCAUGAUAACUUCCCGAAUCGCAUGGCCUUGCGCCNGCGAUGGUUCAUUCNAAUUUCUGCCCUAUCAACUUUCCAUGGUAGGAUAGAGGCCUANCAUGGGGGGUAAC
rnacentral:rRNA from 1 species